rnacentral:rRNA from 1 species
UGGGGAAUAUUGGACAAUGGGGGCAACCCUGAUCCAGCCAUGCCGCGUGAAUGAUGAAGGCCUUCGGGUUGUAAAGUUCUUUUGCAGGGGACGAUGAUGACGGUACCCUGAGAAUAAGCUCCGGCUAACUUCGUGCCAGCAGCCGCGGUAAUACGAAGGGAGCUAGCGUUGUUCGGAAUUACUGGGCGUAAAGGGCGCGUAGGCGGCUCGACAAGUUGGAUGUGAAAGCCCAGGGCUCAACCCUGGAAUUGCAUUCAAGACUGUCUUGCUUGAAUUCGGUAGAGGUGAGUGGAAUUCCCAGUGUAGAGGUGAAAUUCGUAGAGAUUGGGAAGAACACCGGUGGCGAAGGCGGCUCACUGGACCGACAUUGACGCUGAGGCGCGAAAGCGUGGGGAGCAAACAGGAUUAGAUACCCCCGUAGUCC